UACGUAGGGAGCAAGCGUUGUUCGGAUUUACUGGGCGUAAAGGGCGCGUAGGCGGCAUGUUAAGUCAGCUGUGAAAUCUCCGAGCUUAACUCGGAACUGUCAGCUGAUACUGAUGUGCUUGAGUGCGGAAGGGGCAAUCGGAAUUCUUGGUGUAGCGGUGAAAUGCGUAGAUAUCAAGAGGAACACCUGAGGUGAAGACGGGUUGCUGGGCCGACACUGACGCUGAGUGCGCGAAAGCCAGGGGAGCAAACAGG
rnacentral:rRNA from 1 species